rnacentral:rRNA from 1 species
AUGAAAAUCAGUGGUUGGAAGGAAAAGUUGCUAUCAGCAGGAGGAAAGGAAAUCCUUCUCAAAUCGGUUGUACAAGCUAUCCCAACUUAUGCAAUGUCCGUCUUUAAAAUUCCUAAAAAGAUUUGUAAAGGAAUCAUUGAAGCGAUGUCGCAUUUUUGGUGGAGUGACGAAGACAAUCAGAAGAGAAUGCAUUGGAUGGCAUGGUGGAAGAUGUGUGUACCAAAAGACCAAGGAGGAAUGGGUUUUCGAGACAUACAUUGUUUCAAUCUGGCCUUAUUAGCCAAACAAGCGUGGCGCCUGCUUGAUAACCCUGAUUCACUAUGUGCUACAAUUUUGAGAGCUAAAUAUUUUCCAGAUGGAGAUUUAAUGAAUGCGAGUCUGAAGAAAGGAUCCUCUUUCACGUGGCAAAGCAUUAUGGCAGGAGUGGAUUCUCUCAAAAAAGGUUAUAUUUGGAGAGUUGGUAAUGGACAGAAUAUUGAUAUCUGGAGAGAUGCAUGGAUCCCGAAUGAGGCAAAUAGGGAAAUUAUCACUCCUAGAAGAGGGCAGCUUCUAACAAAAGUUGCUGAUCUUAUAGAUCCAAUCAACAAUUGCUGGGAUGAAGAUUUGGCAAGACAAACGUUGUGGCCAAUUGAUGUCCAGAGAGUGCUUAUGAUCCCCCUCCCCACGUAUGACAUGUCGGAUUUCAUAGCUUGGAGCUUUACAAAGAAUGGA